rnacentral:misc_RNA from 1 species
GGUGACUCUUUUUAAUUCUUACAUGUCAUUUUGAAUUUUGAAUCAUUUUCCUUAUUAUACUAUUGUCAAGGUUGUUUCAAAUAGAAUCUGAACUUGAUUAGAUAGAUUUUUCCCUCAAGGUUUUCGAUUUCUUACGUACUCAGCUGCUUUGGGCAUCCUCUGCCUAAGAGGGCAUAGGAAAGAUUCAUUGGGAUGAGCAAGGGAUGGACUUGGAAGUAGUAUCUAAGGAAUGCAUCUCCAUGGACUUAGAGCCGGCAUUUGCAAGUCUUUUGCUGAUUUUUAUGACUAAUUGAGAUUGAAAUGUCAUGGUCUUUGCCUCUCUCUCCUCUGUUGAUGAUUAGAUCUUGAGGUUGGUGUAUCUGUUGGCAGCAAUGGUACGUUCUUUGGUUCGUCAAUCUCUUUCUUGUCUUUGACAGGUCUCGUCCCAAGCUAGCGAGUCUUUGAAGUGGGAAGACAAUCUCUCUAACUAUACUCGACGGUAGCGGCGCUACACAAGCUUUAGGGCUCCUUGUUCGGGUCCCGCAGGUUUUAGAGUUAGGGUUCUAAAUGGUUGGGUUCUAAGUUAUGACAGUGGGCCUCUUAUAGAUUGGCUUUCUUUGUCUUGUCUUCAGGCCUUAGGCCUUUAUCUACUGUUCGUUGUCCUCUGAGCUUUUAAGUUAUGGGAUUUGUAUUUUAAAAAAAAAAAGGUGAGUGGAUAGAAUCAUUAUUUCUGAGCAAAACUUUUGCUUUUGCUGGAUAAAGCAGCCCUGCAAUUGAGAUAUGGAAACAUUUAUAAGAGAGAGUGAGGGAAUCAAUCCCAAGGCUUUUCAAGAAUCAACAUACUGCUGGCAUGAAGAUCGAAGCCAAUACUUACAUCUGUAAAGAACAAGACCAACAAAGAUUCAAAAUUUAUGAAAGAAAGUCAUAGUCACUGAUUUCUUUCACUUUCAGGCAGCAUUUGACACCAGAGACCUCACUUUUGUC